AUUAUCCGAGUAGCAUGGGGCACGUGGAAUCCCGUGUGAAUCAGCAAGGACCAACUUGCAAGGAUAAAUACUCCUGGGUGACCGAUAGCGAAGUAGUACCGUGAGGGAAAGUGAUCUGUGACCG